CCUGAGCCAAGACGAAGAGUGAGACGCUUAACCAACUGAGCCACCUGGCGCCCUUGUCUUCUUUCGUUUAAACUGUGCCGCUCAGUUGCAUGGAACCCCCUCAGCUAAUCCUGCAGCACAAGGUAUGAGUAUAUGGAUAUACACAGAUAAUGGACUUUUAGAAAAAUUGGGGAUUGUACUAACAGCAGUGAGAAUGAGCAAGCCACAAAUAUAGUGACAACAUAGACUUAACAAACGGGAUAUUGAGCAUAGAAAGCCAGACACAGAAAAAGAGAGCCAGAGCAUGAACGGGCGAGGGGCAGAGAGAGAG